ensembl:ncRNA C06A1.11 ncRNA
GCGACCCGAAUCUCAUUUCCCACUGCUCCUUUUUCCGGGGGUGCCGGCUGCUCCCGGAGCCGUCGACGACGCCGAACGACUCCAAAUCGACUCUUCUCAUCUUCUUCU